UACGUAGGGACCGAGCGUUGUCCGGAUUCAUUGGGCGUAAAGAGCUCGUAGGCGGCUGUUCAAGUCGAACGUGAAAACUCGGGGCUCAACUCCGAGCCUGCGUUCGAUACUGGAUGGCUAGAGUCUGGUAGGGGGAUCUGGAAUUCCUGGUGUAGCGGUGAAAUGCGCAGAUAUCAGGAAGAACACCCGUGGCGAAAGCGGCUCUCUGGAACGGUACUGACGCUGAGACGCGAAAGCGUGGGGAGCAAACAGG
rnacentral:rRNA from 1 species